rnacentral:rRNA from 1 species
UACGAAGGGGGCUAGCGUUGUUCGGAAUUACUGGGCGUAAAGCGCGCGCAGGCGGUCCUUCAAGUCAGAGGUGAAAGCCCAGAGCUCAACUCUGGAACGGCCUUUGAGACUAGAGGACUUGGGUACGGGAGAGGUGAGUGGAAUUCCGAGUGUAGAGGUGAAAUUCGUAGAUAUUGGGAAGAACACCGGUGGCGAAGGCGGCUCACUGGCUCAUUACUGACGCUCAUGCGCGACAGCGUGGGGAUCAAACAGG